rnacentral:rRNA from 1 species
AGAGUAGAGGAAAGGAGCAAUCCGCUUUACGAUGAGCCUGCGGCCUAUUAGCCUGUUGGUGGGGUAACGGCCUACCAAAGCUACGAUAGGUAGCCGACCUGAGAGGGUGACCGGCCACAUUGGGACUGAGAUACGGCCCAGACUCCUACGAAACGCA